ACACGACUCUCGGCAACGGAUAUCUCGGCUCUCGCAUCGAUGAAGAACGUAGCAAAAUGCGAUACCUGGUGUGAAUUGCAGAAUCCCGCGAACCAUCGAGUUUUUGAACGCAAGUUGCGCCCGAGGCCUUCCGGCCGAGGGCACGUCUGCCUGGGCGUCACGC
rnacentral:rRNA from 1 species